rnacentral:rRNA from 1 species
CUUCGGAUCGUAAAGCUCUGUCGUUAGGGAAGAACAAGUAUCGUUCGAAUAGGGCGGUACCUUGACGGUACCUAACCAGAAAGCCACGGCUAACUACGUGCCAGCAGCCGCGGUAAUACGUAGGUGGCAAGCGUUAUCCGGAAUUAUUGGGCGUAAAGCGCGCGCAGGCGGUCCUUUAAGUCUGAUGUGAAAGCCCACGGCUCAACCGUGGAGGGUCAUUGGAAACUGGGGGACUUGAGUGCAGAAGAGGAGAGCGGAAUUCCACGUGUAGCGGUGAAAUGCGUAGAGAUGUGGAGGAACACCAGUGGCGAAGGCGGCUCUCUGGUCUGUAACUGACGCUGAGGCGCGAAAGCGUGGGGAGCGAACAGGAUUAGAUACCCUGGUAGUCCACGCCGUAAACGAUGAGUGCUAAGUGUUAGAGGGUUUCCGCCCUUUAGUGCUGCAGCAAACGCAUUAAGCACUCCGCCUGGGGAGUACGGUCGCAAGACUGAAACUCAAAGGAAUUGACGGGGGCCCGCACAAGCGGUGGAGCAUGUGGUUUAAUUCGAAGCAACGCGAAGAACCUUACCAGGUCUUGACAUCCUCUGACACUCCUAGAGAUAGGACUUUCCCUUCGGGGACAGAGUGACAGGUGGUGCAUGGUUGUCGUCAGCUCGUGUCGUGAGAUGUUGGGUUAAGUCCCGCAACGAGCGCAACCCUUGA